CCAAUGAAAGGCAGAAGAAGAUGGAAGAAGAAGCAAUUGGCUCUCACAAGACUAAAAUCCUAGGGCCUUCAGUCAUCAACUUCUAGUCAAUUUUCUGAAGCUUCUGGGCAUACAGCAGCGUGUGCCCUAAAAAGCUUCCAUACAGUCACUGCAGCUGGGUGCUGGUCACUCCACGGAAUCUCUUGAGAUAGUUCCUCUUACAUUUGAACUGUCACUUUCAUGUGGACAGUUUUUUAUCCUUAACUUUGGCACAUACUUAGAUUUUUAAAUUCUGUUCAGUCCUCUAUAAUUGGCACCAUAAUUUGCAGAGUUCCUGGCUUUUAUUAUUGCAUUGCAUAUAGUCUCAGCCAAGCUCUAAGAGACUAUACAGCCCCUGGCUGGAAUCGGAUUCAAUGCUGUAGUGCAGAGCUCAAAACUGGUUGAGGAAAUCUGAAAGACCAGUUACUGAGAGACCAGAAUGAAUCAGUAGAGUGAGUGUGGUUCUUCAGCUGAAGGCAAGAUGGAGAGGAAGGCAUAAAUUGGUUAAUUUAUACUUCAUCCUAUAAAGAACAGAUUCAAAAGGAAUGUAUAAAAAUUCUAACAGUAUCUGAAAAUGUCAAGGAUACGCGCCAGCCUCCUACAUGACCUACAUCACACAUAGGAUGAUUGGAACCGUUGUAGCUGUGGAACCAGGGUCCUUAGGAUCUGAACAUGGAGACUGGAUACUCCUACUCUUGCUAGUCUAGGGUGAAAUGCCACACCACAGAAUACGGGAUGUGACUUCCUGGACACUUACCAAAAAUAGGCCAGGUGAAUAAAACUCAGAAAGUGCAGGGAAAUCAUUUUCUCAUUGAGUGAAGUUUGACCAACUAGGAGAAUAUGGGAAACAGUCUACAUGCUCUGUAGUCUGUUUCUCCUCCUGCAGGUGUAAUAGAUAGGCCUAAAUGAGAAACCAGCUGUCUUUUUGUGGCAAUGUAGUUUCAAAAUUCACCAUCUUGAUUUUCUUCUCCUCUUCCCUG